rnacentral:rRNA from 1 species
GACGAACGCUGGCGGCGUGCCUGACACAUGCAAGUCGGACGGUUCUUGCACCUUCAAGCUUGCUUGUUGGUUCAAGGAUAGUGGCGGACGGGUGAGUAACGCGUGAACACCUACCCAUUGGAGGGGUACAACCCGUCGAAAGGCGGGCUAAUACCGCGUAAGCCGUGAGGUGAAAGGCUGCUCUUUGGUGGCUGCCGAUGGAUGGGUUCGCGUCCUAUCAGCUGGUUGGUGGGGUAACGGCCUACCAAGGCUAAGACGGGUAGCCGGUCUGAGAGGGAUGGCCGGACCGACGACUGGAACUGAGACACGGUCCAGACUCCUACGGGAGGCAGCAGUGGGGAAUCUUGGGCAAUGGGGGAGACCCUGACCCAGCGACGCCGCGUGAGGGAUGAAGGUUUUCGGAUCGUAAACCUCUGUUGUACGGGAAGAAGGAUGUGACGGUACCGUACGAGUAAGCCCCGGCAAACUACGUGCCAGCAGCCGCGGUAAUAUCACGU